ACUACGAUAGCACUCUGAGCUCAAGACAUAUUCCACUAUUUCAUGAGCUUACCAAGUAUUUAAAUACGAAAACACGAGGCGUAUACGUAAUAUUUAUGAAAAUGAUACAGAAAUGAGUUAGUUAAGUACUGAUCCCCAUAUACCCUCACCAAUCUCUGAGUACUGAGUAUCGAAAAAACGAAAACAGUUUGCAGUUUCAAUUUUGCAAUGGCCAAUUGAGCCGGAGUUGCUGAAAAACUUUGUUUGUCGACUUCGAUAACAUUUCGACAUUUGCUGGCUUUAAUUGAAUCGCCAGCAGAGCGGAUACUUCGGGCUGCCAGCGAGCAGGUGAAAUCGAAAUCGAAAGUUACUGGCCUAUCUCCACAGCCUCCAUCGCAUCCGUCCAAUGGAUUCUCGGCGGGAGCGGCUCGAUUGAAAGUCGAGAAAUCGUCGGAUUGCAUUUCGACCAGCUGGUUAUACUAAUUAGAUCGGAGCGACGCGACUCAAGGUCGCUGACAAAACUGAAUGCAUAACAAAUUUCAUUUAUACGCCGGCACGCAAUCGACACACAUCAAAAGUAAAAACGAGAAACUAAAAAGGAGAGCGCUGCCAGGGUGAAGUUACUGUGGCAGGCUUUUAGCUCUGCCAUAAUUCAGGCCGAUAAGCGAUCUUAACUAUCUACACGAUCUGGACAGGCCGGACCGCUGUCGUGGCUCUCCGACUUGUUGCCAAUUGCAUUUGGGCUUCUUGUCGGGGUCGUUGCUGUGACAAUAUUUGCAUGCCAGCUCGGCUCGCACACUCUCGCUGGGAGCGGGAUGCACUGGAAAGGCGGUAUCAGCGCCAUCAUCUCAUCAUCGAUAUGCCAUCAAUGUGGAAUGGUCGCAAAUUAUCUGGCCUUAAGAGCGGCCUGGCAUCGACACUGGCUAAAGCCAAUGCACUCAAAACAAAAAAAAUAGUGCACCUUUGGGCUCUUCUUCAGCUGCAGCCAACUUUCCGAAGGCGGCACUCUGUGGGAUCUCUGGAUCGGUUCGCUUAAUGCCUUUGUGACAUUUUAAGGUUCAAUUUGGCUAAUAAUGGCGGCGCAGAUAAAACGUGGCUCUCAAGUGGUCUCAAGUGCUGAUUGGCUGCUACUUUUGCGGUGACUAUGUGGCGUUCUAAUGAACGGGUACUUAAUUGUAAUGCAAUACCAAUAUCUGGUGGCGUAAUUAACGAAAUUACAAGGUUUCGGCUUUCGCUCAAUCAGUCA
rnacentral:sRNA from 1 species